GCCAGCGGCGAAAGCACGUUGAAUACACAAUUUCUCAUCACUGAAGUUAAGCAAUGUUGCGUGUGGUUAGUAUUCAGAUGGGUUACCAUUACCAUCUGGGCUAUCGCGUGCCGCUGGUA
rfam:Asian citrus Psyllid, Diaphorina citri - Florida Strain, whole genome shotgun sequence.